UUGCCGUGAUAACCAUGUUAGGACAUCUUUGGAACACCCAUGACAAACAUUUCAACAGUUCUGAGCAAC
rnacentral:snoRNA from 1 species